GCCCGAGUGGCGCAAUGGAAGCGCAACCGACUUGUAAUCGGUAGG
rnacentral:tRNA from 1 species